AAAAACUCCUCCCACUUACUUUUAAUUGGACGCCGCACCCGCGAUCAAAAUAGACACGCCUUCCACUAUUCUUUUUUUCUAGUGCGCAAGGGAAAGUUACCCUUGCUGAUCUGUGGUCAGUUUUCCCAUAAGUAAUUCUCAAACUAUAUUAUUGAGGAGCAAUUACAAAACUGGCCCGGGACCAGCAUUGAGUUGACGCGUGGUGAGAUCCAGAGAGUGAGCGAGCAUGGAAAAGCUGAGGUCGGUGUAAAAGCGGACGGGAUACACGUCUGCUCAGAAACUUCUGACUCUCUGUUAUCCCUCAUCUUGAUGGGGUUGCAUUUGGAAACCGUAUUUUUUCUGAUACAGUCUUUGCCAGACGUUUGAAGAAUAAUUAUACUUCCUCUGAUUUUGUGUCCGAAUCUCACGGCGACCAGAUCUUAGGGACCGUUCUUUUUGUAGCCAGAUCAUAGCUUGGAGUUGAAGCCGAGCUAAACCCGUCAUCACACAAGUCUUCAAAAUUUUCAGAGCCAGAACAAAACGGAAUCGAACUACACAGUCUGUAGGAACGGGUUGGAGCGUAUUGCAAACUUUGUUGCUCACUGUAAAGCCAACCGAUAUUGCGAAUUCAUUGAAAUGAAUGGGACACAUUCUUUUUAGUGGCAUACAACAAACUUUCGUUUUCAAAAGAAAUAAGCUAAGUCUAUUCACUUAACAGACGGACAUAACACUGAUAGUUUUUUUUCUAAGUCAUGCUUUACGAGGGAAAAUGGACCACGGUGAAGGCGUCAUCUCUGGAGAGCUCUGGAUGUGAGACCUACAUCACAUAUUUACGCGCUUUUGUUUGUUUUCACGCGUCCCACUGAGGCUUGGAGGAGAGUUUGGCUUCAAGAGCAGAAGCUCUGAAUAGCAGCAUCUCUCAGCACCUGAUGAGAGUUCAUCAGUACUAAGGGCUGUCACACUAGAGGAGUGUUGAGUGUUGAAAUCUGCCAGCCUGUCUGCGCUUGAUGAGGGCUGAUUCCCCCCAAACAGAUUGCCCUUAAAGAGAUUCCUGGAGG
ensembl:lncRNA